rnacentral:lncRNA from 1 species
GUAUCCGAAAUACGCGUCCAUGAAGUUGAGUAGUUCGUGUCCGGAAGUGGCGUCCUCCAUUUGAUCUAUUCUCGGCAUUAGAAAGCUGUCUUUGGGGCAUGCUUUGUUCAGAUCAGUAAAAUCUAUGCAUACCCUCCAAUCUCCGUUGUGUUUUUUCACAAGAACCGGAUUCGUGACCCACUUCGGGCAUUUCGCUUCACGGAGGAAAUCGUUGUUCAACAGCUUUUGUACUUCCUUAUUGAGUGCUUCAUAUCUUACAGGGUUCAGAGGUCGUCAUUUUUUCUGUUGGCCGAACUGAAGGAUCUACCUGUAACUUGUGGCAUGUAAUACUGGGAUCUAUUCCUCUCAUGUCACUGUGAUCCCAGGUGAAGACAUCAAGGUUUUGUUUAAGGAAAGUCACAAUCUUGCUUCGGGUGGAGAGCUGCCUCUCGCACCCGACUUUGAGCUCCUUUAUUUUGUCUUUGGCACAGACUCGAACUCCUUCUAGUUCUUCAACGGGGUCUCCGCCUUCGAUCCUGGUCUGUGUGUCUAAGGGAAUGAGUUCGGAUUCCCAUAUGUUUGCCAUAUGUACUCUUGGGGAGCCGCGUUGAUGGCUGGCACAAGCUUUCCAUUGACAUCUUUCAGUGAGCUCCCUGUUUCCUUUGACUUCCAUGGUGUUGGUAACUUGAUAGAAUAGUGAUAUAAGGAAACUACUGCUCUCAGGCUGAAGAGUAGGGGCUGUCCCAUCACAGCGUCAUAAAGAG